GCUUAACACAUGCAAGUCGAGCGGUAAGGCCUUUCGGGGUACACGAGCGGCGAACGGGUGAGUAACACGUGGGUGAUCUGCCCUGCACUUCGGGAUAAGCCUGGGAAACUGGGUCUAAUACCGGAUAUGACCUCAGGUUGCAUGACUUGGGGUGGAAAGAUUUAUCGGUGCAGGAUGGGCCCGCGGCCUAUCAGCUUGUUGGUGGGGUAAUGGCCUACCAAGGCGACGACGGGUAGCCGACCUGAGAGGGUGACCGGCCACACUGGGACUGAGACACGGCCCAGACUCCUACGGGAGGCAGCAGUGGGGAAUAUUGCACAAUGGGCGAAAGCCUGAUGCAGCGACGCCGCGUGAGGGAUGACGGCCUUCGGGUUGUAAACCUCUUUCAGCAGGGACGAAGCGCAAGUGACGGUACCUGCAGAAGAAGCACCGGCUAACUACGUGCCAGCAGCCGCGGUAAUACGUAGGGUGCAAGCGUUGUCCGGAAUUACUGGGCGUAAAGAGUUCGUAGGCGGUUUGUCGCGUCGUUUGUGAAAACCAGCAGCUCAACUGCUGGCUUGCAGGCGAUACGGGCAGACUUGAGUACUGCAGGGGAGACUGGAAUUC
rnacentral:rRNA from 1 species